rnacentral:rRNA from 1 species
UACAGAGGUCCCAAGCGUUACUGAGAAUCACUGGGUUUAAAGGGUGCGUAGGUGGGCAGGUAAGUCAGUGGUGAAAUCUCCGGGCUUAACCCGGAAACUGCCAUUGAUACUAUCUGUCUUGAAUAUCGUGGAGGUGAGCGGAAUAUGUCAUGUAGCGGUGAAAUGCUUAGAUAUGACAUAGAACACCAAUUGCGAAGGCAGCUCACUACGCGAAUAUUGACACUGAGGCACGAAAGCGUGGGGAUCAAACAGG